UGGCUGUAUGAACCAUGACAUCAUUAGAGAGGGUCCAGAGCGAAGUUCACACAGUCAGAGCGUGUGUGUCCACCUUGAGCAUUGAUGCAGUCCUGGCACCGUCAUCUCAUUGAGGGAUGGUACGGGCUGUGAGGUUUCGCAGAUGCGUGGUUCGGAUCCAUGUUUCUUGGCGAGGGCUUGUCACGGGUCGUCGGCCGCUACGGGAACGAUCUGAAAUAAUGGAUCAUACUAAAAACAACAUUUUCCAAAACAUCCACGAAGAGAUGGUCAAGGGUACGUUCAAUGACCUUGACAUUGUCUGUGAGAAUGGGACAACGAGUGCAAACCGUUUGGUCCUGGCCGCGAUGUCAUCUUACUUCCGGGCAAUGUUAACAUCAAACAUGACAGUGAGUCGGAUGGGCGUCUUAAAUCUGCCCACGGUCUCGGUGUCGGUGUUCCAGGAUAUUCUCAAGAUGUCUUUGUGUUCAGUAGAUCUUGUAAACGAAGACAACUGCGUCAAAAUGUUAGACGCAUGCGAAAUGAUGCAGCUUGAUGACGUCAAAGAUCUGUGUCAUUGUUAUCUUAAGAAAAGUCUAGUGAUCAACGCUGACAAUUGUCUACAGUGGUGGAGACUUAUGAAUCGCUACAAUGUUCCUGAUUUGUCCAGCAGAGCAUUCUCUUAUCUGACAGAAAACUUGACUGACUUUGUUGAAACAGAAAAUACUGGUCAUUUGUCAAAGGCAGAACUUUUAGAAAUAUUGUCCAAAGAUGACUUGAAAUGUAAAGAAGACGUCAUUAUGAAAGGUGUCAUGAAGUGGCUUGAAAUAAAUAAUCCGGAUGCAGAUGAUGUAAAACAUAUCUUUAGAAUGAUCAAGAUCAAUCUUGUUGAUCCAAAGUUCCUCGUUGCGAAUGUGGCAUUUUCAAAAUUCAUUUGUGAAAAUAACUCUGUUCAGGAAAUGAUACAAAAUGUGCUGUGUUCACAUAUUAUGGCAGCCGGUUCAAUCAGCAGGUUUGAUAGUGAAUGUAAGAAUGUUUUCAUAUUACAUUAUAACGAAAAAAAGAAAACAAAUUCACUUCUGUCUUGUUUUACAUUAGAAGGGACAUGGGAAGACGUUCCACCUGCUCCAGUAGAUCCUGGAUUGUGGUAUUCAGCAGCAAGUCUAGGUAACAAGAUCUACAUCACUGGUGGUGUCAGUAGAAGAAAAUGUACACUCGUCUACGACGUCUGUAGAAGAGAGUGGAAAACAGGUCCAGAUCUCGAAGAAGAACGUUUUUGGCACUGCAUGGCCACAACUAAUUCCAAAGUGUAUGCAAUUGGGGGUAAGUACAGCAACACGAUUGAAGAGAUGAGCAAGAGUGACACACGUUGGCAGGUUGUUGGAGAUUUGAAUCAGAAGAGAGAUCUUGCAUUCGCUGCUACAGUUGGACACAACAUUCUGGUGAUGGGCGGACGGAGUGAAGGACGUGGAUCAGAUGUUAUCCAGUGUUUCAAUACAGUGACUCGCUGUGUGUCUAACCUCAGCUCACGUUUACCACACAGAUCGGAGUGUCUGAGAGGUUCGGUUCAACUCCCUGAUGUAUAUCUGCUGGACUAUGAUGGAAAUGUGAUGCACGUCCAGGUCACUGACAGUGAUGGUGAAAUCAAGAUUCAAGUCAAGUCAACAACAAAAUGGCGAUCAUUUGACUAUUGUUUUGGCGUAUUAUGGCAAAAUGGAAGCUUGUUGUCCUUCAGUGCCGCGGUCGCUAACUGUGAAGUUAAAACAUACAACGUGGUUGAAGGUAAAGAAGAAAACAUUAUUUUCCCAAAGUCACCUAAACGUGGUUCUGUCUUCAGUGUCAUUUCUAAAACAUUGUAGGUUCAGCGUGUACUGGGACAUAACAUAUCACUGUAGGUUCAGUGUGUACCGGGACAUAACAUAGCAUUGUAGGUUCAGUGUGUACUGGUACAUAACAUAUGACUGUAGGUUCAGUGUGUACCGGGACAUAACAUAGCAUUGUAGGUUCAGUGUGUACUGGUACAUAACAUAUCACUGUAGGUUCAGUGUGUACUGGGACAUAACAUAUCACUAGGUUCAGUGUGUACUGGUACAUAACAUACCACUGUAGGUUCAGUGUGUACUGGGACAUAACAUAGCACUGUAGGUUCGGUGUGUACUGGGACAUAACAUAGCAUUGUAGGUUCGGUGUGUACUCGGACAUAACAUAGCAUUGUGUGUUCAGUCUGUACUAGGACAUAACAUAGCAUUGUAGGUUCAGUGUGUACUAGGAGAUAACAUAUCAUUGUAGGAUCAGUGUGUACUGGGACAUAACAUAACAUUGUAAUGUUCAGUGUGUACUGGGACAACAUAGCAUUGUAGGUUCAGUGUGUACUGGGACAUAACAUAGCAGUGUCGGUUCAGUGUGGACUGGGACAUAACAUAUCAUUGUAGGUUCAGUGUGUACUGGGACAUAACAUAGCAUUGUAGAUGCUGUGUGUACUGGGACAUAACAUAGCAUCGUAGAUGCUGUGUGUACUGGGGCAUAACAUAGUAUUGCAGGUUCAGUGUGUACUGGGACAUAACAUAGCACUGUAGGUUCAGUAUGUACUGGGACAUAACAUAGCACUGUAAGUUCAGUGUGUACUGGGACAUAACAUAGCAUUGUAGGUUCAGUGUACUAAGACAUAGCAUAACAUUGUAGGUUCAGUGUGUACUGGGACAUAACAUAGCAUUGUAGGUUCAGUGUGUACUGGGACAUAGCAUAGCAUUGUAGGUGAAGUGUGUACUGGGACAUAAUAUAACAUUGUAGGUUCAGUGUGUAUUGGGACAUAACAUAACAUUGUAGGUCGGCUGUGUACUGGGACAUAACAUAGCACUGUAGGUUCAGUGUGUACUGGGACAUGACAUAUCAUUGUGGGUUCAGUGUGUAUUGGGACAUAACAUAACAUUAUAGGUUCAGUGUGUACAUAGACAUGACAUAUCAUUGUGGGUUCAGUGUGUAUUGGGACAUAACAUAUCAUUGUAGGUUCAGUGUGUACUGGGACAUGACAUAUCAUUGUGGGUUCAAUGUGUACUGGGACAUAACAUCGUUGGAUUAAUCAAAUAUUUUCUUAUGAGGUUAAGCCCGUUAAUUAUACUUGUGUUCAGUAUAUAACAUUGAUUUUUCUAUUAACAUGAUGUUGCCCAGUAUACUGGGAAUACAACACUAUAUACGGAUAUUUCAUAUGUUGUACCAAAGUUGACAAAUAGUCAUUUUCUGUUGUCUUAGAAAACCAAACAUAUAACCUAUUUUCAGUUUUUUGUCUCACAGAUUAUUUUAUUUAUACUUUUUUCCCAUAUUUGAAGCUCCAUAAUUCUAUUUAGGUUCAGGAUAUGAUAUUGUUUUCCUUAAAUACGUUGCUCAGUAUACUGCAAAUAAAACAUUCCAUACAGAUAUUUAAUAUUUUGUAUCAUACUUAGGAAAUAACCAUUUGUUAUUGCAUUCCAAGACCACACAUACAACUUAUUUUCAGAUUAUUUUUUUUUAUUUAUUUUUCUUUUCUUUUUUACAUUAAUUUCAUUUUGAUUUCCACUUAUUUUUGUGUUUAGAUCCAAUUAAGGUGCGAGCACGCUGUCCACGACAGUGUGUUAGUUGUUAGUUAGUUAGUGGUUAGUGAGAGAAACGAGUGUGUAGUGGUCUUACACUUACCCAUUGAGUCGUUAAAACUUGCUCUUGGGGGGAGCUGCGAACCUACCAGUCUUAUGUCCGAUUUUUUGUUUUGUUUACAACUACCAGUGCAAGAAUCCAUUUACACAGUAUAUGACAUUAAACUUUAUUUUAUUUUA
rnacentral:misc_RNA from 1 species